GACGAACGCUGGCGGCGUGCUUAACACAUGCAAGUCGAACGAAGUGGCGGACGGGUGAGUAACGCGUAAUCAACCUGCCCUUCAGAGGGUGACAACAGUUGAAAACGACUGAUAAUACGGCAUACGGAAGGAGGGGAUUGCGUCUGAUUGGCUAGUUGGGGGGGUAACGGCCAACCAAGGCGAAGAUCAGUAGCCGGUCUUGGGGGGUGGACCGCCACCUUGGGACUGGGACAAGGCCCAGACUCCUACGGGAGGGAGCAGGUGGGAAUCUUCCGCAAUGGACGAAAGGUUGGCGGGGCCAAGCCGCGGGAGUGAUGACGGCCUUCGGGUUGGAAAGCUCUGUUAAUCGGGACGCGGUACCGGAAUAGAAAGCCACGGCUAACUACGUGCCAGCAGCCGCGGUAAUAC
rnacentral:rRNA from 1 species